rnacentral:rRNA from 1 species
GAUGAACGCCGGCGGCGUGCCUAAUACAUGCAAGUCGAGCGAACAGACGAGGAGCUUGCUCCUCUGACGUUAGCGGCGGACGGGUGAGUAACACGUGGAUAACCUACCUAUAAGACUGGGAUAACUUCGGGAAACCGGAGCUAAUACCGGAUAAUAUAUUGAACCGCAUGGUUCAAUAGUGAAAGACGGUUUUGCUGUCACUUAUAGAUGGAUCCGCGCCGCAUUAGCUAGUUGGUAAGGUAACGGCUUACCAAGGCGACGAUGCGUAGCCGACCUGAGAGGGUGAUCGGCCACACUGGAACUGAGACACGGUCCAGACUCCUACGGGAGGCAGCAGUAGGGAAUCUUCCGCAAUGGGCGAAAGCCUGACGGAGCAACGCCGCGUGAGUGAUGAAGGUCUUCGGAUCGUAAAACUCUGUUAUUAGGGAAGAACAAAUGUGUAAGUAACUAUGCACGUCUUGACGGUACCUAAUCAGAAAGCCACGGCUAACUACGUG